AGAUUACUUCUGUGAGCAACUGGGUCUCUCAGUUCUUUGGGAGCACCCUGGGAAACAGUGUGGCUAUGACUUGGAGCUGCUCACCAGUUCCAGUCAUUCUGUGGUUGAGAGCUGCUCCCUAUGGAUGUUAAUUCUUCUCUAUUUUAGAUUUUCCACAGGUGUGGGCCCCAUUAGCUCUGGCCACCUGAGAAAGCCCUCAGGCAAAGAGUCGCAGGUGAAAGCCAGCAGUUAGAGGUUCACAGAAAUGAUGCCAUAGGUAUUAACACUGCAGAGAAUCAAGAGGCCUGGUGAUGCUUGUGUAGAAUUGCUGAAACGGUUGAUCGUGGAGGACAGACAGGAGAGGAAUCAUGCAAAUACUACCAGAAAAGGUUAAUGGAUGGGGGAAUAUAAAGGAGAAAGAAGCCUGCAAAAGCAAUGAAAGCAAAGAACAGGCUUAGUGGAGAGUGCAGAAGCAUCUUCAGUUGGAGAGCCAUUGCCUCUUGCUGUGAAAUAUUUGGGAAUCUUCAGAAACCAUGAAGAAUAACCUGCUAAAGGGUUUUAUUUUGUCAGUCAAGCUGGAAUGCAGUGGCGUGAACAUUGCUUACUGCAGCUUCAAUCUCCUGAGGUCAAACAAUCUUCUCACCUCAGCCUCGCAAGCAGCUAGGACUACAGGCAUGUGCCACCACGCCCCACUAAUUUUUUAAUUUUUCUUUUGUGGAGACGCAGUCUUGUUAUCUUGAACAGGCUGGUCUUGAACUCUUGGAGUCAAGCAAUCCUUCUGCCUCAGACUCUCAAAGUGCUGGGAUUACAGGCAUGAGCCACCACAUUCAGCCAGGAAAAGUUUUUGUACAUUUAAAAAAUUAUAGGAUAUUUGUGUAUAUAGCUUUGCUGGUUUGACUUCCUAGAAUAGCUCCCAGGAACACAAAGUACUUAAUUGAUUAGUAUAAAAUGAUUAUGUCAUACUCACAUGUUGGUUUUCUAAAUGCACUUAAUUUUUCUGAUUAAGAACUGAAAACUAUGCUGACCAGGGACACUGUAGACCUGUGGCUCAUUUUUGCAUAAAGGUUAUGUGUUUAUUGUCUGAUUUGGUCAUGCCUAUAGGCCAAUAGUGUUUUAUUUUGAAAUGUUUCAAACUUACAAUAAGGCACAAAAAUAAUAUAAUAGACACCAUGGUCUCAGCAUCCAGAUUUAAGAGAUGUUAAGAUGUUACUACGUUUGCUUCAGACUUUUCUAACACACACACAAAAUACUAGAGAUGCAGCCAAAACCCCAUCUAUCAAUCCCUUCCUCUUCUCUCCAGAGGUAGCUAUUACAUUGAAGUCGGUAUGUAAUAUUUCCAUGUUUGGCUUUGUACAUGUUCUACUUAUGUAUGUAUUCAUUAACUUCGUACUACUUUUUAAUGUUCUUAUAUAGUUUCAUUAGUAACAUCCCAGAGGGCAUAUCAUUUGUGAGUUUGAUUUUCUCACUCUUCAUUUCUUUUUUGGGGAUAAUUUAUUCUUGGUACAUGUAGAUCUCCUCACUCCACUACAAUUGCUUUAUGGUACUUAAUAUAUGAAUAAACUAUGGUAUAUUUAUUUCC
ensembl:lncRNA LINC00534 long intergenic non-protein coding RNA 534